rnacentral:rRNA from 2 species
ACCAACAGGGAUUGCCCUAGUAACGGCGAGUGAAGCGGCAACAGCUCAAAUUUGAAAUCUGGCUCUUUCAGAGUCCGAGUUGUAAUUUGCAGAGGGCGCUUUGGCUUUGGCAGCGGUCCAAGUUCCUUGGAACAGGACGUCACAGAGGGUGAGAAUCCCGUACGUGGUCGCUAGCUAUUGCCGUGUAAAGCCCCUUCGACGAGUCGAGUUGUUUGGGAAUGCAGCUCUAAAUGGGAGGUAAAUUUCUUCUAAAGCUAAAUAUUGGCCAGAGACCGAUAGCGCACAAGUAGAGUGAUCGAAAGAUGAAAAGCACUUUGGAAAGAGAGUCAAACAGCACGUGAAAUUGUUGAAAGGGAAGCGCUUGCAGCCAGACUUGCUUGCAGUUGCUCAUCCGGGCUUUUGCCCGGUGCACUCUUCUGCAGGCAGGCCAGCAUCAGUUUGGGCGGUGGGAUAAAGGUCUCUGUCAUGUACCUCUCUUCGGGGAGGCCUUAUAGGGGAGGCGACAUACCACCAGCCUAGACUGAGGUCCGCGCAUCUGCUAGGAUGCUGGCGUAAUGGCUGUAAGCGGCCCGUCUUGAAACACGGACCAAGGAGUCUAACAUCUAUGCGAGUGUUUGGGUGUCAAGCCCGAGCGCGUAAUGAAAGUGAACGGAGGUGGGAACCCGCAAGGGUGCACCAUCGACCGAUCCUGAAGUUUACGGAAGGAUUUGAGUAAGAGCAUGGCUGUUGGGACCCGAAAGAUGGUGAACUAUGCUUGAAUAGGGUGAAGCCAGAGGAAACUCUGGUGGAGGCUCGCAGCGGUUCUGACGUGCAAAUCGAUCGUCAAAUUUGGGCAUAGGGGCGAAAGACUAAUCGAA